GGCUAUAUAACAUAAUUGGUUAAUGUGGAAGUCUGCAAAACUUCAAAUGGCGGUUCAAAUCCGCCUUUAGCCU
rnacentral:tRNA from 1 species